rnacentral:lncRNA from 1 species
AGCAGAGGGCAACGACAACAAAACACUAUUCAAAGAAUAUCCUCUUCCAAGAUGAGAAUGUGCCAUUCAGAAGAAGUCUUCAGGUGGGCUCAACACAAAGAAUGGGCACUAUCAUGGCAGAAGAGGAUCCCUUUCCCUCAUCUGGUGCUUCUGAGAAAAGCCAUUAAGUUGCUGGAGCUGAAAAUAUUUGCAAAUUCCAGGAGAGUGUUUCCAAAGGAGUACCACGCAUUCCCCUUUGCGAUUGUAAUAAAAUGCUUGGAUGCUGCCAUGGGAAUUGCCAUCCCCCAAGCCAGUCCUUGGAGCUCCCCAAAGGGAGGGCCACCCUUCUAACCAGAACUUUCCCAGCAUGGAGCCUAUCAGCAUUUUCAUCAACUAGAGAACUGGUGUUCCUUUAAGCCGAAUCACAGAGAUUAAUGUUUCAAUUUGCAGCUGCUUAAUGGUGUUCUGUGGAGCCUCUCCCUUCUGUCAUUUGCCCCCCGGUUGGCCUGAGGAUUUGCAGUUAAUGGGGCAGCUAGGGAAGCCUUUCAUUUCCCCUUGACUGGGUGUGUUAAAACGCUGAUCUGUUUCUCGAUCAGGUCUCUAUGUCUUAAUCUCAGUCUUGCCCUGAUGGAAUGUUCCCCUUCAUGCUUUACCAAAGCCAGGUAUUGAAUAUCUAGAAACUGAUAGCUUUGGCAAAUGCCCUGCUUGCUUCUUCCAAGAAACCAGUCCCUAAGGGGGUAGAUAUCUAAAGUAAGCUUAAAACAAGAACAUGCUUACCCCUGCUUACCAAUAUGAUUGCUAUCUUUUGCAGUACUGAUAGCUCCGUUUGCACCUUUGCUAGGGACAUAAGAUUAGACAAGAAAUGGUUUUGUUUUGCUUGUUAGUUUCUCCCGAAGCCUCCUUCCCCACCUCCCCAACCCAUCACUUUACACUUCUGUUCACUCUCUGUGCACUCUGUUUACUGAGACUCCUUUCAUACGUUUUGUCUUUUUCAGUAAAACC